GCUGAAACACCGGUUCUCGUACGAUCACCGAAGUUAAGCAGCGUAGAGCCAGGUCAGUACUUAGAUGGGGGACCGCUUGGGAACACCUGGUACUGUAAG
rnacentral:rRNA from 1 species